AACGCACAUUGCGCCCGCCGGCACUCCGGCGGGCAUGCCUGUCCGAGCGUCAUUUCAACCCUCAGGCCCACCCUUCCGGGGGAGCGGGCCUGGUGCUGGGGAUCGGCGGCCCUCGCGGCCCCCGUCCCUCAAAUUCAGUGGCGGUCGCGCCGCAGCCUCCCCUGCGUAGUAGCACAACCUCGCACCGGAGAGCGGAACGACCACGCCGUGAAACCCCCAAUUUUUCAAGGUUGACCUCGGAUCAGGUAGGAAUACCCGCUGAACUUAA
rnacentral:misc_RNA from 1 species